rnacentral:lncRNA from 1 species
CUGCACAAAGUUAAAGCUGUUUCAAGGUGCUUUUCUUCAAGACAAGAAAUGCAUUAAAGGAGUUGGUUAGCAGUUGUGAACAUGUCUUCAUGACCAAGGAAUGCAUUAAAGGAGUUGGUUAGCAGCUGUAAACACUUAAUUUCGAAAUUCCCUAUGCAUGAAGGGUUGUUUCAUGCACUACUAUUUAUUUUGGUAUUUAGAACUUAGAAAGAAC